rnacentral:rRNA from 1 species
AUUGAACGCUGGCGGCAUGCCUUACACAUGCAAGUCGAACGGUAACGGGCCUUCGGGUGCCGACGAGUGGCGAACGGGUGAGUAAUGUAGCGGAACGUACAUUUCAGUGGGGGAUAACGUAGCGAAAGUUACGGUAAUACUGCAUAUUGUGUGCGCAGGAAAGCAGGGGAUCGCAAGACCUUGUGCUGAUUGAGCGGCUGAUAUCGGAUUAGCUAGUUGGUGAGGUAAAGGCUCACCAAGGCGACGAUCUUUAGCGGGUCUGAGAGGAUGAUCCGCCACACUGGAACUAAGACACGGUCCAGACUCCUACGGGAGGCAGCAGUGGGGAAUUUUGGACAAUGGGGGCAACCCUGAUCCAGCCAUGCCGCGUGAGUGAAGAAGGCCUUCGGGUUGUAAAGCUCUUUCGGCCGGGAAGAAAUCGUAUCAGCUAAUACCUGGUGCGGAUGACGGUACCGGCAUAAGAAGCACCGGCUAACUACGUGCCAGCCGCCGCGGUAAUAC